AUACUUACCUGGCAGGGAAGAUGACAUGAUCACCACCAGGGCGAGGCUUAUCCAUUGAACAAACGUGCUGACCCCUGUGAUUUCCCCAAAUGUGGGAAACUCGACUGCAUAAUUUGUGGUAGUGGGGGACUGCAUUCGCGCUCUCCCCUA
rnacentral:snRNA from 1 species